CCCUGAUGCAGCGACGCCGCGUGAGCGAAGAAGUAUUUCGGUAUGUAAAGCUCUAUCAGCAGGGAAGAAAAUGACGGUACCUGACUAAGAAGCACCGGCUAAAUACGUGCCAGCAGCCGCGGUAAUACGUAUGGUGCAAGCGUUAUCCGGAUUUACUGGGUGUAAAGGGAGCGUAGACGGAUGGGCAAGUCUGAUGUGAAAACCCGGGGCUCAACCCCGGGACUGCAUUGGAAACUGUUCAUCUAGAGUGCUGGAGAGGUAAGUGGAAUUCCUAGUGUAGCGGUGAAAUGCGUAGAUAUUAGGAGGAACACCAGUGGCGAAGGCGGCUUACUGGACAGUAACUGACGUUGAGGCUCGAAAGCGUGGGGAGCAAACAGGAUUAGAUACCCUGGUAGUCCACGCCGUAAACGAUGACUACUAGGUGUCGGGUGGCAAAGCCAUUCGGUGCCGCAGCAAACGCAAUAAGUAGUCCACCUGGGGAGUACGUUCGCAAGAAUGAAACUCAAAGGAAUUUGACGGA
rnacentral:rRNA from 1 species